rnacentral:rRNA from 1 species
AUUGAACGCUGGCGGCAUGCCUUACACAUGCAAGUCGAACGGCAGCACGGGGGCAACCCUGGUGGCGAGUGGCGAACGGGUGAGUAAUGCAUCGGAACGUGCCCAGUAGUGGGGGAUAGCCCGGCGAAAGCCGGAUUAAUACCGCAUACGUACUGAGGUAGAAAGCGGGGGACCGAAAGGCCUCGCGCUAUUGGAGCGGCCGAUGUCGGAUUAGCUUGUUGGUGGGGUGAUGGCCUACCAAGGCGACGAUCCGUAACUGGUCUGAGAGGACGACCAGUCACACUGGGACUGAGACACGGCCCAGACUCCUACGGGAGGCAGCAGUGGGGAAUUUUGGACAAUGGGCGCAAGCCUGAUCCAGCAAUGCCGCGUGUGUGAAGAAGGCCUUCGGGUUGUAAAGCACUUUUGUCCGGAAAGAAAUCCGUCUGGCUAAUACCCGGACGGGAUGACGGUACCGGAAGAAUAAGCACCGGCUAACUACGUGCCAGCAGCCGCGGUAAUACGUAGGGUGCGAGCGUUAAUCGGAAUUACUGGGCGUAAAGCGUGCGCAGGCGGCUUUGUAAGACAGAUGUGAAAUCCCCGGGCUCAACCUGGGAACUGCAUUUGUGACUGCAAGGCUAGAGUGCGUCAGAGGGAGGUGGAAUUCCGCGUGUAGCAGUGAAAUGCGUAGAGAUGCGGAGGAACACCGAUGGCGAACGCAGCCUCCUGGGAUGACACUGACGCUCAUGCACGAAAGCGUGGGGAGCA